UACGUAGGGUGCGAGCGUUGUCCGGAAUUAUUGGGCGUAAAGGGCUCGUAGGCGGUUUGUCGCGUCGGGAGUGAAAACCAGGUGCUUAACACCUGGCUUGCUUUCGAUACGGGCAGACUUGAGUACUGCAGGGGAGACUGGAAUUCCCGGUGUAGCGGUGAAAUGCGCAGAUAUCAGGAGGAACACCGGUGGCGAAGGCGGGUCUCUGGGCAGUAACUGACGCUGAGGAACGAAAGCGUGGGUAGCGAACAGG
rnacentral:rRNA from 1 species